rnacentral:rRNA from 1 species
AAUACAUGCAAGUCGAGCGAACAGACGAGGAGCUGCUCCUCUGACGUUAGCGGCGGACGGGUGAGUAACACGUGGAUAACCUACCUAUAAGACUGGAGAUAACUUCGGGAAACCGGAGCUAAUACCGUGAUAAUAUAUUGAACCGCAUGGUUCAAUAGUGAAAGACGGUUUUGCUGUCACUUAUAGAUGGAUCCGCGCCGCAUUAGCUAGUUGGUAAGGUAACGGCUUACCAAGGCAACGAUGCGUAGCCGACCUGAGAGGGUGAUCGGCCACACUGGAACUGAGACACGGUCCAGACUCCUACGGGAGGCAGCAGUAGGGAAUCUUCCGCAAUGGGCGAAAGCUUGACGGAGCAACGCCGCGUGAGUGAUGAAGGUCUUCGGAUCGUAAAACUCUGUUAUUAGGGAAGAACAAAUGUGUAAGUAACUAUGCACGUCUUGACGGUACCUAAUCAGAAAGCCACGGCUAACUACGUGCCAGCAGCCGCGGUAAUACGUAGGUGGCAAGCGUUAUCCGGAAUUAUUGGGCGUAAAGCGCGCGUAGGCGGUUUUUUAAGUCUGAUGUGAAAGCCCACGGCUCAACCGUGGAGGGUCAUUGGAAACUGGAAAACUUGAGUGCAGAAGAGGCAAGUGGAAUUCCAUGUGUAGCGGUGAAAUGCGCAGAGAUAUGGAGGAACACCAUGUGGCGAAGGCGACUUUCUGGUCUGUAACUGACGCUGAUGUGCGAAAGCGUGGGGAUCAAACAGGAUUAGAUAUCCCUGGUAGUCCACGCCGUAAACGAUGAGU